GAUCAUGGCUCAGGAUGAACGCUGGCGGCAUGCCUAAGACAUGCAAGUCGAACGAAGUGGCCCUUUGACUUAUAUUGAAACUUUGAGUGCUUGCACGAUUUGUUGAUUUAUAAUGAUUAGGAUUUUCCACUUAGUGGCAGACGGGUGAGUAACACGUGGGUAACCUACCUCAGAGACUGGGAUAACUAUUGGAAACGAUAGCUAAUACCGGAUGAUUCAUAACUACAUAAGUAGA
rnacentral:rRNA from 1 species